rnacentral:rRNA from 1 species
UCGCCUGUUUAUCAAAAACAUUGCCUUACGAAGAUUAAUGUAAGGUAUAUCCUGCCCGGUGACUUGAGAGUUAAACGGCCGCGGUACCCUGACUGUGCUAAGGUAGCGUGAUAAUUCGUCCUUUAAUUGUGGGCUUGAACGAAUGGAUUAACGAGGGUCUAGCUGUCUCUAUUUUAGUAGCUAGAAAUUGAUUUUCAGGUGAAAAAACUUGAAUAUUAGUGUAAGACAAAAAGACCCCAUAGAGCUUAGUUUUUUCUAUAAUGGGCGAAAAAUUACUGAAUUUAAAUUUUUUGUUUACUCUAGUACUAACUUAACUGGGGCGGUUGAGGAAGUUUUUAUCUUCUUUUUAGUUUAAAGGCUUAUAGGCUACUUUUUUUAACAGAUCCUUUUUAAGAUCAAAAGAAAAGCUACCUUGGGGAUAACAGACUAAUUUUUUUUGAGAGUUCGUAUUGACAAAAAAGUUUGGCACAUCGAUGUUGGCUUAGGGUAUCCGAAAGGUAGCAGCAGUCUUUUAUGGUAGGUUUGUUCAACCUUUAAAACCCUACGUGAUCUGAGUUCA